rnacentral:sRNA from 1 species
GCAUGUCGCAAACAAGCGAGGAGACGUCUUGGGGACUAGACAGCGCGGACGUGUUUUUACCCGGAGCCUCUCCGUGGAAGAGCGCUUUCGUCGCGACCCUGGCGGCGCUGCCGCCGCUGCUGUUGGUCCUCGCGGCGCUGGCCCUGCGCUUCCUGCAGAAGCAGCGGAGAUGCCAAGAAAAGCUGAAGAAGCAGGCGGAGAAGAGACAAGGUGAGCGGGGACAGGGCGUUCUGCACCCACCUCCCUAAGUGCCAACCCGCCGUAAUCCAAAGGCUGUGGGUCCCAUUACGAGGGUCUAUUCCAGCGCAGGGUGUCAGGGCGGCCGCCCGGGAGCGGUGAUCAGUGACCCCGGUGGGGGAAAAGGGAAGAUGGUUCAUAUGGACAAAAGCGGAGGUGCUGCACAGUUGCAUUUUCCACAGAGGCUAGUUAUACAGAUGUCAGGGUUGAUUGGCUACUAUUGAUUACACCCUCGGAGCUUGCUGAACAUUACACUGUACAGAGGGAACAGUGACCAGGGUCUCUGCUGCCAGCGUCACUUCGUCCAGGUUUUCAUAAAGCACAGGGAGUCGGGCUGAUGCGCAACAUCU